UAGGAGUAGCUAUAUCAAGGUUUAGUGCA
rnacentral:piRNA from 1 species